GGGGAUCUGCCCGAUAGAGGGGGAUAACCACUGGAAACGGUGGCUAAUACCGCAUAACGUCGCAAGACCAAAGAGGGGGACCUUCGGGCCUCUCACUAUCGGAUGAACCCAGAUGGGAUUAGCCAGUAGGCGGGGUAAUGGCCCACCUAGGCGACGAUCCCUAGCUGGUCUGAGAGGAUGACCAGCCACACUGGAACUGAGACACGGUCCAGACUCCUACGGGAGGCAACAGUGGGGAAUAUUGCACAAUGGGCGCAAGCCUGAUGCAGCCAUGCCGCGUGUAUGAAGAAGGCCUUCGGGUUGUAAAGUACUUUCAGCGGGGAGGAAGGCGAUGCGGUUAAUAACCGCGUCGAUUGACGUUACCCGCAGAAGAAGCACCGGCUAACUCCGUGCCAGCAGCCGCGGUAAUACGGAGGGUGCAAGCGUUAAUCGGAAUUACUGGGCGUAAAGCGCACGCAGGCGGUCUGUUAAGUCAGAUGUGAAAUCCCCGGGCUUAACCUGGGAACUGCAUUUGAAACUGGCAGGCUUGAGUCUUGUAGAGGGGGGUAGAAUUCCAGGU
rnacentral:rRNA from 1 species